AAUAGCUGACUUUUUUCUAUCUUAACUAGCUGUAGUGUUGGCUGGCGGUGGUCACUCUGCUAAUGGUGUUGUGGCCCAAGGCUCCCAAUCUGAAGGGGAUUCUAACAACACAACUAUAUUUGUUGGAGGGCUUGAUUCUGAAAUCAGCGAUGAGGAUCUCAGACAACCGUUUUUGCAAUAUGGCGAUGUUGUCUCCGUGAAAAUUCCAAUCGGUAAAGGAUGUGGCUUUGUUCAACUUGCUGACAGAAAGAAUGCUGAGGAAGCUAUUCAGGGGG